AAUUUUGGACAAUGGGCGCAAGCCUGAUCCAGCCAUCCCGCGUGUGCGGCGAAGGCCUUCGGGUUGUAAAGCACUUUUGGCAGGGAAGAAACGGCGCCGGAUAAUACCUGGCGUCACUGACGGUACCUGCAGAAUAAGCACCGGCUAACUACGUGCCAGCAGCCGCGGUAACACGUAGGGUGCAAGCGGUAAUCGGAAUUACUGGGCGUAGAGCGUGCGCAGGCGGUUUGGAAAGAAAGGUGUGAAAUCCCAGAGCUUAACUUUGGAACUGCACUUUUAACUGCCAAGCUAGAGUAUGUCAGAGGGGGGUAGAAUCCCACGUGUAGCAGUGAAAUGCGUAGAGAUGUGGAGGAAUACCGAUGGCGAAGGCAGCCCCCUGGGAUAAUACUGACGCUCAUGCACGAAAGCGUGGGGAGCAAACAGG
rnacentral:rRNA from 1 species